GGACGGGUGAGGAAUAUAUCGGAAUCUACCCUUUCGUGGGGGAUAACGUAGGGAAACUUACGCUAAUACCGCAUACGAACUGAGGUUGAAAGCGGCGGACCGCAAGGCGUCGCGCGGAUGGAUGAGCCGAUAUCCGAUUAGCUAGUUGGUGGGGUAAAGGCCCACCAAGGCGACGAUCGGUAGCUGGUCUGAGAGGAUGAUCAGCCACACUGGAACUGAGACACGGUCCAGACUCC
rnacentral:rRNA from 1 species